UACGGGGGGGGCAAGCGUUGUUCGGAAUUACUGGGCGUAAAGGGCUCGUAGGCGGUCAACUAAGUCAUACGUGAAAUCCCUCGGCUUAACCGGGGAACUGCGUCUGAUACUGGAUGGCUUGAGUUCGGGAGAGGGAUGCGGAAUUCCAGGUGUAGCGGUGAAAUGCGUAGAUAUCUGGAGGAACACCGGUGGCGAAGGCGGCAUCCUGGACCGAUACUGACGCUGAGGAGCGAAAGCCAGGGGAGCAAACGGG
rnacentral:rRNA from 1 species